CCUACGGGUGGCAGCAGUAGGGAAUCUUCCACAAUGGGCGCAAGCCUGAUGGAGCAACACCGCGUGAGGGAAGAAGGGUUUCGGCUCGUAAAGCUCUGUUGUUGGAGAAGAACGUUCGUGAGAGUAACUGUUCACGCCGUGCCGGUAUCCAACCAGAAAGUCACGGCUAACUACGUGCCAGCAGCCGCGGUAAUACGUAGGUGGCAAGCGUUAUCCGGGUUUAUUGGGCGUACAGCGCGCGAAGGCGGUUGCGUAGGUCUGAUGUGAAAGCCUUCGGCUUAACCGAAGAAGUGCAUCGGAAACCGGGCGACUUGAGUGCAGAAGAGGACAGUGGAAUUCCAGGUGUAGGGGUGGAAUGCGUAGAGAUAUGGAAGAACACCAGUGGCGAAGGCGGUUGGCUGGUCUGCAACUGACGCUGAGGCUCGAAAGCAUGGGGAGCGAACAGGAUUAGAUACCCUUGUAGUC
rnacentral:rRNA from 1 species